rnacentral:rRNA from 1 species
UACGGGGGGAGCAAGCGUUGUUCGGAUUUACUGGGCGUAAAGGGCGCGUAGGCGGCACCGCAAGUCGACUGUGAAAUCUCCGGGCUUAACUCGGAAAGGUCAGCCGAUACUGCGGGGCUAGAGUGCAGAAGGGGCAACUGGAAUUCUCGGUGUAGCGGUGAAAUGCGUAGAUAUCGAGAGGAACACCUGAGGUGAAGACGGGUUGCUGGGCCGACACUGACGCUGAGUGCGCGAAAGCCAGGGGAGCAAACGGG